rnacentral:rRNA from 1 species
CCAAUAGCGUAUAUUAAAGUUGUUGCAGUUAAAAAGCUCGUAGUUGAAUUUCGGGAUCAGUACGCCGGUCGUGCCUUCGGUAUGCACUGGUGUCACUGGUUUCUCCCUUCUGAAGAACCAUCAUGCCAUUCAGUUGGUGUGGCGGGGAAUCAGGACUGUUACUUUGAAAAAAUUAGAGUGUUUAAAGCAGGCUCGCGCUUGAAUACAUUAGCAUGGAAUAAUGAAAUAGGACGUUUGACCCUAUUUUGUUGGUUUCUAGGAUCGACGUAAUGAUUAAUAGGGAUAGUUGGGGGCAUUAGUAUUCAAUUGUCAGAGGUGAAAUUCUUGGAUUUAUUGAAGACUAACUACUGCGAAAGCAUUUGCCAAGGAUGUUUUCAUUAAUCAAGAACGAAAGUUAGGGGAUCGAAGACGAUCAGAUACCGUCGUAGUCUUAACCAUAAACUAUGCCGACUAGGGAUCGGAUGAUGUUAAUUUUUUAAUGACUCAUUCGGCGCCUUACG